UGGAAUAGCUCAGUCGGUAGAGCAUGAGACGCUUAAUCUCAAGGUUGUGGGUUUGAGCCCCACAACGAGCAAAA